CCUCCUACAUUCUCAAAAGUCUUUAAAAUACUUUUUUUUUUCCUUUCAAUUUUACCCCAUUUGGAUUGACUGUUCCGAACGAGAUUUAACUGGAUUGGCCAAUCUGGACACCUCUUUCUUAUACUUUGCAAACCCCUUCUUCGCCACCCACUACAUCUUUCUUUCCAUUCUUAACAAAAACAUCCCUAAAUCCCAAAAAUCGUCAAAUUCCCAAAAUUUUCUCCACUCUUAUAUUCUUCAAAAUCAUAACCAACACAUCACAUUUCACAAGUUUAGAAGUCUAAAUCAUAAGGUAAUAUUUCAUUUCUCAGUUUUUUUUUUUUUUUUUUUUUUUUUUUUUUUUUUUUUUUUAAUUUGGUUGUCUUCAGAUCAACUGAUCUAAACGUGUUUUUGGUUUGUUAUGUGGUGUCUGGGCCAGUUGAUCCAGAUGAGUUUUUGGUACCAUAUGUGGUGUUUGAAUCAGGUGAUCCAGAUGUGUUUUUGGCACCAUAUGUGGUGUUGGGAUCAACUAAUCCAAAGAGAGGGGAGUUGAAUUGUUUCUUAUAAUUUAUGUUGUUGUUUGAGUAAGUGAUACCCAUUAGAUUUGGUAGGGUCAUAACGCUUGUCUCAAUUUGCGAAGAACAACUUCGAAACGAGUGAAUGAUAUUGAGGAGAGUUCGCAAACACAAACCAAAGAUGUACAAGCUGAGAUGCCGCCACCAAAGCCACAUAUCUUAAAUGCUUCAUCUCAAACCCACUCCAACAAGUUGUCUCUAGAUUUAAAUUUCGUAUAAGUUGUGAAGUUUUGAGUAAUAUCGACCAAUGAUUUAGAAAUGUAAGAUUUCAAAUCAAAAGAGGAAUUGUCAUGUUUCAAAUCAAUAGAGGGAUCAUCCAUACUUGAAAUGGUACAAUGGUUAUUAGAAAGAAAGACAAUGUAGGAAAAACUUAGGUCGGAUUGACCAAUUCAAAUGUUUUUGUGCAGUAAACACGCAUUUUGGAUUGACCAACCCAAACGACUGCUUGAUGCAGUAAAAAAAACGUGUCCGGAUUGGCAAAUUUUUUGAGGGCUUUCGGGGAUAUAGGGAGGAGAUAAAAAGCUCUCGAGGACUUAUUGUUGGUGAUUUGAUGAAUGUUGAGUUGUUUGACUGUCCCGAAAUGCUACUUGAGUGUCUGAGACAAACCUAUCCUUUUACAUAGUUGGGUUAUUCUUUAAAGAAAUUGUUUGUUGGUGAUUCUUUGUUUUGAAGGCCACAUUUUCUGUUGGGUCUCUUCUUUAUUUCAAUUUACGCCCAUAUGUAACAUGUAGAUACUUAUUCUCGUUGUGUUUUUCAGCUUUUGUUGGGAGUUAUUUUGUACUUUGUAAUGCUGUCCAUACUCAAUAGAUGGUGAUAUGCUCUAUCUUAAUUUUCGGGUCUAUAUUGAAACCUAUACAAAUUCUUGAAUUUUUCUAUGACUUGUAUCUUGG
rnacentral:lncRNA from 1 species